UGCUUUGAAUGCUUUGAGGCUUAGUUGAGAAUUUGGUUAGGUUUUAUUGAGUAUACAUUAAAGCAUAUGAAGCAUAAUUGAUGGAUUGUUGACUAUGGUGAGGUGGGAGUAGGUUGGACACCUAGAAAAUCAAUUUGGAAGCUGAAAAGGUGGAAGACAAGCUACUGUAAGAAAUUUAUCAAUACGUUACUUAAUGUAUUGAUGGAUUCAUGGCAGAAUGUACCAGGAGAUCAUUUUAUAAAAAAUGUAUUAAUGUAUUGUAUAAAUGUAUUGAUAGAAUUAUGAUAAAAUACGUCCUGUAUAAAAUGUAUUAAUAGAUUUUAAAAUGUAUCCAUACAUGCAUGUAAUAGUGCAAAAAAUGUAAAGACUCUCGAGUUGAACGCCUUGUUUUGUUCUUCUUCAACCCGAGGCACACACUCCUCUCCAUCCCCAUGCCAGCUUCCAAGGUAGAAAGAAGAAGUGAUUUAAUAGGAAAAUACACCGAUUAAAGUGUUGAGGUGCUGGGAAUUUGUUGUUGAAAGUGGGCAUAACAGAGAAUAUGGUUGGAGCAUAAAUUCUGCCAAUUAGAGCGUUGGUGAGCUGUGUUGAUUGAAGCUGCUGUGUUUGUGAGCUGGAAAACUUAAGAAUAAUAAGUUUGUGAAGGCUUAAGCUGAUUGUAGAGCUGAGGAUUGGUUAGCUGUGUAAUUAAAUUGUUGUAUUGCUGGCAUUGAGAUAAAUAGCUCCUUGGGGUUCUUGUUGAGGGUGAGUGACUAGCUUUGCAUGGUCGAUAUCGAGGCAUCUGCUAGACAUUUUCCUAUUCGAGUCAACUCCGCUGGUAAAGUUUUAUAUAAGUGUGACUAUCUGUAGCCAAUUGUAUAAGGCUGAAGCUCACAAAUUGUAGCCAAUAUACGACAUUCUAUAACUUCAUUAUGUAAACACUGUUGGUAUAUGAGUGUAUGCGCAUAUAGUGCUGUUUAUAAAUAUAACUUGAUAAGACUGUGUAAAAGUUUAAAUUCGAUUGUAAACUUAUUUAUGUGAAUACACACACACAUUUGAGGUGGUUCUUGUCAUUUCAUUGUGUUGAUGUGUUAGCGGUGUUGGUAAAACCUU